CAUGUUUAGAAACACCUAAAGCAGCUCUCUAGACAACAGUUCAAAGCGGUGCUGGCCCUGGAUCUGACUAAUGAGGUCAGGAAUAAGAGUAUUUAUGGGGAUUAUUUGCCUCCAGGAGGGAAAGCUCAAAAUGCCAUCAACUGCAAAAACGCAGCCAUGCAAAAAACAAAUUUUCGUCAUUUAGUGCAGUGGUAAAUUCUUAUUAAGUCGAUCAGACAGAUUCCACUUCAGUAAUCAGCCACUGGAAGAGAGUUCAGGAUGAGUCAAUGCUAUUUCAGCCUGCAGGCGAAGUUUAUGGACCUAGCAGACAGGGGCAAUGAUGUAUGAUUAAAAUCAGGGCCACUUUCAGUUCUCGUGGUGCUGUCACGCACAAAAGGCAUGAGAACAAGCAGCCUUUCUGGAGCAGCCGUCCUGAGAGCACCAGAGCUCUAAGGACACCAAGGACACGGUAGCACUCAUCAACCCCACCUUCCUGUUACCAGUACGUACCAGCACGUGUCCAGGAGACGCGGAUUUUCCACACGAAAAGAUGUCUUUGAUACUAACACUAACCAUCCCCGAGGUCUCCAGGAGCUCCGCUCUCACUGGAGACGCAGCCCUGGUGCCCCGGAGCCGAUCGCAACUGCCGUGGUUAGGUGCAACGGCAGCAACAUACCCCCUCACCCCAAGAAUUAUGGCGGUGGGCGCCACGCAGGGCCCGUGGCGAGUAACGAGACCCGUCUGCUUUAACAAGGCAGGAAGAACAAUUAAUUUUCAGGAUUUGAUCCAUUAAACCCAUGCCCGCUAAAACACGCACAGUGUUGGGUUCUUCGGGAUUUUGCCCUCCCAGGCUGGAGCGAUCGUGCCUCUAUGUCUGGAGCAGCGCCGGCCUCCUUUUUUCUUUCUUUUCUUUUAAAACAAGCAGGAAUUGAAACCAACGCUCGUCGCGGCUGUGGAUAUCCGUCGGAGAGGAGGAAAACCAGCGCCGUAACUUCGCGCACCCACGUUCCCGACGCCGCUCCUCUCCAGCGCCCUCCGCUUUCCGGCCAUGUGCCCCCGCCCUCCGGAGCCCCGACGGCGAACCGGGACUGCGGGCUCCUCCCGCCGGGCGCCCACCGCCGGCCCGCCCGGCCCCCCUGCAGCUUGGGCAGGCCCCCGGGGGCUGCAUCUCCGUGCGGAGAAAAGGGAGCGACACUGAGCCGCUGGGCGAAUGGCUCCCGGCACGGUACCUGUGCCUCGGACCCUGCUGUCAGCCUGGGAGUCCCGUAAGAGCUGCCGAAAACGGAGCCCCCCGCCGGCAGCCCCUUCUGCGUCAGUCGGGCACCCGAACGCCUCUCCAGGAGGGCUGUUCGCAGGCAGGAAUACGAGUUACGCGAGAAAAAAAAGACUGUUUAAGGGAAACUCUCUUCGUGCAUAAGUUAAGAGUAGCCGUCCAGGAUCGAUGACUUGUUUGUCUGUUUGCUUUGGCUUUUUUUAGUUUUGUUGUUACUGCUUUUAACGGUCCUGCAACAGCUAGUGCUGCUCGCCUGCUCAUUAGGUGGAGCAGCUGAUACCGAAGCAGGUGCAAGUCUAGACUGAAUUCCGGACCGAUCCUCUUUCCCCAGGUCCUGCGGCUUCACGUUGCUUCAUUUCUCCACUUGUCUUUCUUCUAGGCUCUCGGUGGUGAUGCUCAGUGGAAAGAAUUGCGUGAGAAGAGACGCCUGCAAGAACAGCCGCGCUCCCCGCCGCGCAACUGGCGCUCUUCUCGGCGUGCGGACACGCGUCCCUCGGCGGCUCCGCUGGGAGAGGAGGGGGCAGCGCUUCACUAACCGAGGAAGGCUGCAGCUGCCGCCAGUUCGGCCCGCAUCGGGCUCAGAGAGGCCGGCGCUUCGCCGAAGGGUCUGGCCUAACCAGAGCCGCGCCAGGGAGGCGGUGGCGGCAGCGGCAGCGCGCCGGGGGCGCGGAGCUCACCCCCGUCCAAACGACUUCGCGGCGGUUCUUGCCCGCGGAGGCUCCCCGGCCCCCUCACCGCGUCCCAAAGCCGGCGGCAGCGAGGGGCUCGGAGCGGCCUCGCACGGGGCCUGUCAGCGUGCGCCGCGUGGGGCCCGCGGGGCCGCGCGUGGGGCGGCUCGAGGGCGGAGACGAAAGGGGGGAAAAAAAAAAAAAAAAAAAGCCUGAAGGGAGGAAGUUGCUGCCGCCCUGCAUCAGCUCGUUCGGCUGCAGACAACGUGUCGUUCGGCCACGGCAGUAUCCCACGGACCUGGAGGGUCCGGGACAUGGGGGAGCCCCCCGCUUUGGGGCCGCCGGCCCCUCUUGUUCCCCGAGCUCCUCCCCCAGGAGGGGGGAGGUGCUCCCCGGCGCCCACCAGCGCCCCGGGCUGAAGGGCAGCGGGGCAGCUUGCCCUCGAGGGCUCCCUCGGCGCCCCGGGGAAGCGGGUGACUGCAGCAAGCCUGUCGCCCGUAACCUGUGGGAGAAACGAGGUCGGUGCAGGAGAGAUCCAGCAAGUAGCAGCGUAUGAAAUAGCGUCCGCGCUGCUUCUCCUGUAGCAGCGGAGAGCACAGCCUUUCCCAGCAGCAGCCGCUACCUGCCGCAGGUGCUCCACUGAGAGGUGUUUUCAUCGAUGCGCUUUAAGAGACCGGGUUUUUAAAAACCGAGCGAGACCAGACUGGCGAGGGAGAGCCUCGGUCCCCGACGUGCCCACAAAUCCGGCGUGAUUUCGCAUCAGGCCCCGCACAAGGCAGGAGUGUGAACACCCUCGGCCUCGCCGCCCUGCGGGGAGCUCAGCUUCCGAGGCAGGGACAGACCCGCCGGGUCCCGGCCGGUGCCGUGGCCGCCGGUCGAUGCACGUCGGUGGCGGCUGCAGGAGAUCCGCGGCCGGGGAGGGGUUCAGCACCGCCUGUGUGACUUGGCAGCAUAAAUCCCACUGACUCCGGAGACGAGCCGAGUUGCUAACUUAGGUGGCUGAUUUUGAAAUCCCACUCUCCUGCGUUGCUCGCCGGGCUGGGAAUCAUCAGCUGGCCGGGGCCAACCAGCUGAAGACGCACCUGGGCAGUUUUACUCCGUCGAGUAUUUCCACCGAUGCCAAGCAAACGUUAGCAGGAUCGGUCCCAGCAGCAAUAAUAAUUGCCGAGGUGGGAGUGAAAGGUGUAGCACGCAACUCCAGACACAGGGGAAAAUCUGCCUAUGCUUUGCCCGCCGUGACAGUUCAUUAAACCGCUUUAAAAUAUGUUCUCUUUUUGUAAGUGGAUGUGUGCAGAGACGAAGAGCGUGGGGGUGUGGCAGCGGCAGGGCGCUUUUAAGGCGGUGGCUUUCAACCAGAAAGGAAAGGAGCUAAUCCUUAAAUCGGUCAGUUGUUUGAGAAGAAAUUACAUACAUCUUGGAUACGUAAUUACUGAAAAUGUCAAACACACAAUAUACAACACAGGUGGAAGAACCGACUCAUUGUUCAAGACCUGCCUUUUCUCUGAGCUCAACCCUUAUUUAAAGUUUGCAUUCAAAAAUAAUCGAUUUCUGUGUGACACACACAGAGAGAACAAUUCCGAGGCGCCUGGUUUACUAUAGCUUUGUGACUGCACAAUAUUUAAGGUCCGGAAUGAUGUCUUGUGAAAGGUAAGGACGAGGGGAUAUCAUCUGUAACAGUCAAACGUCAACUUCUUUAGCAUGUUUAAUUAGGAUUCUUGGCAACCUUAAUACUUCACUCUAUACCAAAGGCAACCUUCCCUCCCUGUCUUUGUGAAGGUGUUCGAUUCAAGUGGGAGGGCUCAUACAAGCAAAAACAAUGGUCGCGAUCGAAUCCGAUUAUUCCAAAUCACCGUCACUAUUCGGGGUAUAUUUUUCGUGCAAACCAGAAGAGAGUCAAAAAAGGAAAGCGGAGCACCAAACCCGACCCCAAAAAUACAGCAGCCCUGCUUGUUUUGAACUCCCUUCACAAAGCCUCUACUACAAUCUCUUUUGCCUUUCUCAGAUCCAAAAUGGUGGGAUAUUUCAUUUUCAGUGUAUUUGAUCUCAUUGAGAGAAGCUGCGAUGUCCCUCUGUAACCCCGGUAGUCUAGCAACACGAAACAAGCCUAA